rnacentral:rRNA from 1 species
UACAGAGGUCCCAAGCGUUGUUCGGAUUCACUGGGCGUAAAGGGUGCGCAGGUGGUCGGGUAAGUCUGACGUGAAAUCCCGCAGCCUAACUGCGGAAUGGCAUUGGAUACUAUUCGGCUAGAGGGUUGGAGGGGGGACUGGAGUUCUCGGUGUAGCAGUGAAAUGCGUAGAUAUCGAGAGGAACACCAGUGGCGAAGGCGAGUCCCUGGACAACUCCUGACGCUGAGGCACGAAAGCUAGGGGAGCAAACAGG